rnacentral:rRNA from 1 species
GGUGAUGAUGGCAGAGAGGUCACACCCGUUCCCAUACCGAACACGGAAGUUAAGCUCUCUAGCGCCGAUGGUAGUUGGGACCUUGUCCCUGUGAGAGUAGGACGUCGCCAAGCAA